AACAGCGAUGGCUAUUCAUUUAAGUCUUCGGGUAGCACCACUAGAUCUUCAACAAGGUGGAAAUUCUCGUAUUCUGUAUGUACAUGUUCCUGCGGCUCGGAUGAGUAUUCUUGUUUAUAUCGCUACGGCUA